GUGGAACCUUGCAGUCACCAUAAGGAAUUAGGAUUUUCUCUGAAAAGAAUGAAGAGCCGCUGGAUGGUUUGAGCAGAGAGGUGACACAAACUCGCUUAUGUUUCAACAGGGUAACUCCUGCUAUUAAAUAGAGUGUAAACUGCUGGAAGACACAAAUAGGAGCUGACGGUCCAGUUAGAAUGCUAGGACAGUGAUCUGGACCAGGGGAGGUAGUGGCGUGGACUCCAUAAUUAGGAGGGAUAGAAGGGAGAAGAGGAGUGAGAAACACAUGGCUAAGCUCCACAGUGAGGCUUCAAAGACUGUUUCCUUCCCAGGGUGCAAGGAGAGAUAUCGGAGUGCAGGGCAGUAAAUAGCCGCCUGUGUCUUUGUGAAGAACUGGAAGUUGGUGUCAUCUCAACGAAAUGUUCUCUGUACGAUGGAAUUGGGAAGUGCUGGCUGCCUUCUAGAUUUUGGAGACCAGAUAAAGAUGGUAGUUUUGGAUCAAUAUGUUCUAACAAUAUCUUGAUGGAUGUCAACACCUGAAUUAAUGAUCACCAAGGAGGGAUUCCCCAUGGCUACACGGAUUCAAAUUGUGAUGUUUUAUGAGUGGAUUGUGCAAAAUUACAUGAAGUGAGUUUUUACCCACCCUUUAUCUGCCAACAUUAGGACCAGGCUAGAGGUUCAGGACUAGACAUGAGGAAAUACAGUGAAUGAUCUAGAAUGUGGGAAUUUUGAACAUUGUGGGUGUAUGUUGAACUGCCUUUCUACCACCUAAAGGAUUCGGAUAAGAGGAACACUAAUUUCAAUGCUGUACAUGUCUAAGAGCUUCCAAACCUUUAUGAACCUCGAUGUUUUCUUUGUCUAAUGUCAACAGUUCACAGGGUUUCAAAAUCUGGACUGGAAUUUUUUAAUGGUAGUUUUUGAAAUUUUGAAGCUAUAGGCAUGUCAAUGAUUUGAUUACAAAGCUGAGGAAGACAUGCUGUAUCACUAUUACAGAAUGACUUUUCCCACUAUUAACUUGGGAAUACUUCCAUUACAGAGCAGAGGACUGGUAUAAGAGUCGGAGUGCUUUGGUUCAAGUCCUUGUUCUGACGCUCAAGGCGUGACCCUGGGUAAGUUACUUUACCACUCUGAGCCUCUGUUUACUCAUCUAUUAACAAGAACAAUAAUAUCUCUACUUUUCUUGCUGCGUUUUGAGAUCAUUAAGCUAGAUUAAUGAUAAAACACAUUAAUUAUAAAAC
rnacentral:lncRNA from 1 species